rnacentral:lncRNA from 1 species
CAGGAACAUAUAGACCCUCAUUUGCAAUAAAACAGAACGUAACAUGGUAAAAUAGAACCCUUUUCAGCCUUCCACAUUUUAAUAAGACUUUGCACUUGGUAUACCACUCAUUUUUUCAUUAUAACCAAAUGUUACUGGAUUGAUAAACAAUGUCAAUGAAUCUAUUUCCUUGAACAAUACUUGAGUCUGAAAGUAAUUCACAGAGACAAUUCAUAGAGCAAUUCACAGAUACAAUUCAUAGAGCUAUUCACAGACUUACAGAUUCAUAAAGCAAUUCACAGAUUUACAGAUUCAUGACGGUACAGAGCAAUACUGGAGAAAAAUUAAAACAUUAAAAUAGAGCAUUUCACAACGAUUUUCUCCUGGGCUUUUUCAAUAGCUUCCUAAAUUUGUUGUGUUCAGUAUUGUAACAUAACAAUCAACAAAUCAAAAUAAGAUAUAAAAAGAACUGAGAUGACGUCGGGGGCUUCACCUUCUUCUUCUGCAAUGUUGUUGUCAUUCAAAUUUCUGUUCAUAGUGAAGGCGUCUGCCGACUGCUAUCUAGGGCUCAAAAAUGCAAAAGAAUGCCGCAAGAUUCCAAUAUUAGACGAAGGCGAUGACGAGUGAGAGUUCGUGAGAUGUUGAGAAGAGAUUCAGAAGUUGAAUGAAAGAGGUUUCCGUCUGUG